UUUUUAUUAAAACAUAAAAAGGAGAGCAACAAAACCAUAAAACUAGAGGGAUAUUGGAUCUUGUUUCUGUGAAACUAAUGCAUCAGGUUGGCAGUGAUUCGAUGGCAGUGGUUGCCAUUCUCAUUGAGUUCUCAAGGUGUUUGUCAGAGAUUUUUGAUGAAAUUUUAUUCUUCCUGUGAUUCAUCUUUGAAAACAGUUGUUCACAAAUAUACGUACUGCCAACAGUGAUGACAUGGAUAAGGAGUGACUGUGAAGUGAAGGAUAUUUCUCUCUGAUAAAAGAGGGCUUAUGAAAGUCCAGUAGAGAGACAUGAUCAAGUUUUUCAGUUGAAUAUCUGAUUGCAACUCUGUGCAUUUCAUUUGAAAAUUUGCAGGUCAUGUAUUUAUGUCAACUGAAAAAGGAGUCACAAAUAAACAAACAAAAAAAAAAUUGGGAUUUUUUUUUUUGCAAUCUUGAAACCUGUUCUCAAAUUCCUGUAUCAAAAUGGAAAGCAAGGCUGCAUAUUUUUUGCUGUUCACUGUGACUGUGUUUUGCGAAUGUAUGAAAAUCCAUAAACUUAUUUACCGUAACUUGAGCAGGCACUGCACUGUGCUCUCUCCAUGACCCGGUUUCAGCCCAGAUGGGGUUAAUAAAGCACUGGUGUUUGGUAAUUGAUAAGUGAUGGGUGUGCAUGGGGCAGAGCUGCCACCAUGAUGGCGAGGGGCAGAGGGCGGCCACAUGGCGAGAUGUGCCAGGCCGCAUGCGGCCCAUGGGCUGCAGCAGGCUGCAUGCUGCAGGUUGGACAUGUCUGUCCAGUGAUUUUUUUGGUAUGUUGUUUGUAUCAGUCACUUAUUUUUCUUUUUUUUAUGUCAUAGAAGUAGAACAAUAUACUGUUCACAGUGGAUUCGAGGGAGUGAACCAAUGGCCUAGGUUCAGCAUAUAGAGAGUAAUUUCCAUGAGUCUGAAAUGGUUGAGUAUAGGCAGUUCAGGCAGCCUUCCUUCCUUUCUAAGCCAUUUUUAGGCUGUUCUCUAAAAAGAAAAGAAAAAAAAAAAAAACGUAAGAACACCUUCCAUUUUUAAAUUAAUUGAGUUAAUUCUGUUCUCUCAAGAGAGGAACUUCCUCGGAGGAAGGUCAAUAACGUAAUUAGCAAAACAUAAUUAAGAAAGUGCUGCUGAAAAAUGAAGUUAGUGGCCACAUGCUUCCCCUGCUAGAGAGGUGGGAACUAUGGUUGAGAUGGGGGCAUCGCUGAUCCUGCAUGCCAAAACCUGCUUCUAGUAAGCACAGUGCUGGGGGGUAACAGGCAGUGUUUGUCCAUUGAUUUGGCUUGUGGAGAAGUCAGAAUUUGGCCAGAAAAGAUCUCUAGGCCAUAUAUUUCUGACAUUUGAAAUUCAAUGUGUACUAUAUUUGGGUUUUAAGCAUUAGAUCUUUUGCAGUUGUGCGUGACAAGUGUGCAUAAAAGGCACAGAAUCAUAAAAUCACUGACUAUCCCAGGUUGGAAGGGACACAUAAGGGUCACUGAGUCCAGCUGCACAAGACCACUCAAAAAACUGACCAUACGUCUGAGAGUGUUGUCCAGAGGCUCCUUGAACUCUGGCAGCUUGGGGCUGUGACCUCUACCCCGGGCAGCCUGCUCCAUGCCCAUCACCUUCUGGUGAAGAAUCUUUUCCUAACCUGACUCUUCCCUGAUGCAGCUCCAUGCCAUUCUUUGGGCCCAGGGUCUGCUGUCCCCAGAGAGAGGAGAUUAGCGCUGCCCCUUUGCUCUACUUGUGAGGAGCCGCAGCCACCAUGAGGCCUCUCCUCAGCCUCCUCUGCUCUUGCCUGAACAAACCAAGGGACCUCAGCCACUCCUCAUACAUCUUGCCCUCAAGACUCUUCACCAUCUGUGUAGCAUACUUUAUGCUCCUUUUUUCAAAAAUCAGUUUUUCAUUACGUACUCAUUUGUAACACUCAAUGUUUUCAAUUUGUACUUUGAUAUUUAUUUGCAGCUAUGAGCUUGUCUGAAGUCUGAAACAACAUAAAGCCUACUAAUUCAGUGCACACUCUCCAUUUAUUUUAUCUUAAUGAACCCUCUAAUCUCUGGGAGGGUUUUGUAGAGGGAAUCACAACAAAUUUUGAAUAAUAGCCAUAUUUGAAGGUUUGGAGCUCUGUGUAUGACAGCUCAUAAAUACUAAAAUCAACAGUUAUCUAAUCAAUUACUGGUGAAUUAUUUUUGAUUUUUGCUCUAUUAAGUACCACAGGUACAGAAGAAUUGCCGUAUUUUAGCAGACCACUAGACAGACGGGCCCAUUACUGUUUCUUGCUCAGUGGCCAGUACCACAUUUCAAAGAAAGGUUCAACAAAAUGAUGUAGUAACCCACCCACAGGAGUAGCUCUUCUAAACUUCCAGCAACUGAUACCUGAUUUAUGCCUUCAGUGGGGGCAAUGAAAACCCCAAAUGGCUUCACACAUCUCUUCCCACAAUGACUUUUGAGUAUUUGACAGCCUGCAGACCAGCUUUGGGAUGAACUCACAUCUUGUGGUUUUGGUUUUGAUUUUAUUUUUUAAAGAAAAGUUAGUGGCAUUUCAGGUAUUUAGUUGGUUGCUUCAGGAGAAGAACACCUGUAUUUAUCUCCGUAACAGAUGCUAGAACGGUAUUUUCCUCACACUGGAGGAAAAAGGGAUUUUACCUGAAAGGAAAAGAGAUUUUCCUCACACUGUUCUAUACGGAUAAUUUAACCACAGUAUUGACAGAGGGAAUUAAGUCAAGUCCAUCUCAUCUCCUCAUUUUGGCUUCUCAAACUCCAGUCCUUAUUCAAUGGGCCCAGAGCACAACAGGGUUUAAUGAUACAGCUACAUUCUCACUUUUAGUAAAUGGGUUAAGACUAACAGCUGAUUUUAUGUGUAGGAAUGACAUCUGCCAGUUGCUAAGCACGAUUAUCUUUCAGUCACUAGUAUGCAGAAUUGUCUUCAUUAACAAGUAAAAAUCUUAUGGGAUUUUUAAUUGCCCAUAAAUUUUUUUCUCCUAUGAUUCAAUUUUCACGUGGGUAUUUAAUACUGGUAAGACUGUAAACUCUAUUAAUUUGGUCAUGAGUAGCAUAUCUUGAGGUGUUUGAGUGCUCUUACUGAGGUUUUUCUGGUGUUCAUUUACACUAUUCCAGAUUUUAUUUAGUGGAUCAUGAUUUUUUUUUCUGUAUUUUUUUUAGUAUGGAUUUAAUUCAUUUGGCAACACUACUUAGGCAUGGAUGGCUGAUGGACCAUUACAAGUCAUUGGCUACAGAGAAGGUUAAUCAGAGAAAUGUUCUCAUUAACCUGAAUCUGAUUCUCCUCUUCAUUACUGAAAACUAGAUCAUUUUCACUAUGCAGGAGAGAUCAAGACUAAAGGAGCCCAGGGUGUCCUCUAUUUGCAGCCACUGGACUUUACUGCAAGAUUCAUGCUGUAGAGAGAGCUGGAAGCAGUACUAACAAUUUAUCUGGAGAAACCAAGAGCACCACCCAGUUACAGGCAGUUGGCCACAUGGAGAUCUAGGUUAAAAUUACCUUGGCUGGAGAAGAGAGUGGAAGCAAGGCUACCACAGCAAAAGAUGUGUCCUUGCUGCUCCUAGAAAGGAAGGAAAGCAUGAAGGCAUCUGCAGCCUCUUGGGGCUGGGAAGGGACUUUCAUCCCCAGCCCUUUCGUGUCUGUGAGCCUGAGCAACAGCAAGGAAACUGAAUUUGGCCAGAAACCAAACUGAAGAGGAGUACAUUCAUUCCUGGAGUGACUCUACUGACCUCCCUAGAGCUGCUCCAGAGUUCAGGCCAGCCUUGACCUGCUUUUCUGCAAAUUGUGUGGCUGGGGAAAUGCUGUUCCAUCCAUCUUUGCUCAAAGUAAUAACAAGAGAAUUCAGAAGGGUUCAGGGAAGGGUGACAAACAUGACUAGAGCAGAAGAAAGCUCUCAUAUCAAGGGAGAUUGAUAAGGUUGCAGUUGCUUCUCUUAGAAAUGAGACAAAUGAAAAGGAGACGUAAAAAAAGGAGACAAAAUAAUAAAUAGUCUAGGAGAACUCAUCCACACACCCUUUGUGAUCUGCUAAAGGGCUUCUAGAGGUCCAUGGCAAUGUAAUCAAAUUAAGGCCCUGCUACCUGUCUCUCCUCUCUGGCUGGCUGCACUGCUGGGCUCUCUGCUUGAGUCUCUUUUUGACUGUUGGGGUAUAAAGACUGAAAACCAGUACAGUACUAUACGGCAGACAACAAAUGACAUUUGAAGCGAUUGUGCUUUGCAGCAAGACUUUCACCAGGUUCAACCUAACUCCUACCUUCAACUCCUUGAGUUCAAAACCAGCAAGGCACUGCUUGGAAGAGAAACUUGUGCAAAUAAUUUCAUGUCACACAGUGGACUAUGUUUUUAAAAGGGCUCUUCCUGUGCUCUUCUGUCUUAGUUACAUCUCUGCACAAGCCAUUCCUAUGGCUGAAAAGACCACAUGCAUUUUUUUUUUUAAUCAUUUAUGGACUAAUGUAACACCGGAGUCAUCAAAGCUUGAAAGCCACAAAGAUAAACAGGCUAAAAUACAUUACAUGUCUUGAGCUGUCCUAGCAGUUCGUUGCUUCCACUGAAUGAAGCACUUUGCAUCCUGCCAUUCCUACCGCUGGUAUUUAUUUGCCUUGGGCUCUGCUGAGCUGAUGUGGUCACACUGCAGUCAGAAACAUAACAUGACAAAAAAACAGGAACAGUCAUCUGCUUGGAUGGUGAUCUGAGCCAACUGACUGUCACUGCAGCAAGUGACAAUUGGGUUCCACUUUUAGAUGUGAGACACUCAGCUUAGUUUCUUUUUCUUUCUUCUUCUCUUUUUCUUUCUUUCUCUUUUUCUUUUUCUUUUCCUUUUCCUUUUUUCUUUUUCUUUCUUUUCCUUUUCCUUUUCCUUUUCCUUUUCCUUUUCC
ensembl:lncRNA